rnacentral:rRNA from 1 species
UACCNCGGCCAUACCACCCUGAACGCGCCCGAUCUCGUCUGAUCUCGGAAGCUAAGCAGGGUCGGGCCUGGUUAGUACUUGGAUGAGAGACCGCCUGGGAUACCGGGUGCUGUAGGCU